rnacentral:rRNA from 1 species
GACGAACGCUGGCGGCGUGCUUAACACAUGCAAGUCGAACGGAAAGGCCCUGCUUUUGGGGGGUGCUCGAGUGGCGAGCGGGUGUGUAACACGUGUGUAACCUGCCCUAGACUUUGGGAAAACUUCAGGACAGUGGGUCUAAUACCGGAUAAGAAUUCUGGCUGCGUGGUGGGGGUUGGAAAGGUUCCGCGGUUGGGGAAGGACGCGCGGCUUAUCCGCUUGUGGGUGGGGUUGUGGCAUAACGAGGCCUUGGCGGGUAGCCCGCCUGAGAGGGGGACCGGCCACAGUGGGACUGUGCUACGGCCCAGCCUCCGACGGGAGGCAGCAGUGGGGAAUAUUGCACAAUGGGCGGAAUCCUGAUGCAGCAACGCCGCGUGCGGGAUGGCGGCCUUCUUGUUGUAACCCUCUUUCGCCUGUGACGAACCGUUAGUGACGGUAAUGGGUAAAGAAGCACCGGCUAACUACGUG